AUUACGCUUUAUAUUUUAUCGACUCGUCGCGCGGUUGGACUGUUUAGUAGCAAGAGGGGUCCGAACUGUUACACAAAUUAUGCUGGCAGAAUGUUAUGCAGUAAUUUGAGGAAUUUUUUUUCAGAAUUUUAAAGGGUUUAUAACCCCCUUGUAACCUCCCUCAUAAUCAUUCUUAAUACCCACAUCAAAUACCAUCAUUUACGCUUGGUUUCGUUUCCUUUUAAAUCCUCAUAUUUUGCGGCACUAAACUAACGUGAAUGAUACUCACUCUUGCAACAAACUCUUCAGACUCCUUUAGAGAGAAAGUUAUUAUCUUUUCUCUUUUUUUUCCUCUCCUUCAUCUUCCUACCAUUGUUGUUCACCAAAAAGCCCCAUUUUUAUUCACCCCUCUUAGUCACAUAGAACACAUAGUAUAUCUUCAUUCUUAUCUUAGAUUACUAAGCUCUUGUUGGGGUUACUAGGAGGUCAUCACUUGGAGGACGAACAGGCGAACGACGGCGGGAACUAGACGACUUAGCUUCAAUCCUCCAGUUGGCCCAGCUUGUGAUAGAUAUCGGGGAGCAAUUUAUACAAGCCAAAGUUCCAAGGAAGCUCAUUUAAAACAAGGAAAGAAGAAGGUAAGUGACGUAGUAGAAAAUACGGAAGGUAAGCAAGAGUUCAAGGAGGAUUAGGUGUAAGAAACUCGCAAAGAAGAGUCCCCACAAUUGCAGGAUUAAGGAGGAAAGGUGGGAGGAUCAUCUUACUUGUCUAAGCUUAUGGAUGAAGUAGUAAUAAUAAGAAGAACGGAAGCGGGUCACCUAAAGUACUUUAUUUAAAUAACUAAUUUUGUUUAAUAUCAGCUAUGUAAAUUAACUAAAUUUGGAAUUUAGUAUAAAUCCUCUAGAAUAGGAUGUAAUAAUUACUAACUACGUUUGUUGAUAUUAAUUAGAGUAAGUAUGAUAUCAUGAAGUUACCUCUCUAGUAGUUGGAGGUAGUCCUAGUAACGCUCACACGGUUAGAUGCUUAACUCAUGCAAUAAUAAGAGAAUUAUGGAUUGG